AGCUUUUUGUAUCUGUGCUAAGAUUUCGUCACACACCAGACCACUAGAGCUGAUGAAACUCUCAAGAUAAGUGAAGCG
rfam:Schistosoma curassoni strain Dakar, Senegal genome assembly, scaffold: SCTD_scaffold0001423